GUGGAGAAUAUUGGACAAUGGGCGAAAGCCUGAUCCAGCCAUGCCGCGUGUGUGAAGAAGGUCUUCGGAUUGUAAAGCACUUUAAGUUGGGAGGAAGGGCAGUAAGUUAAUACCUUGCUGUUUUGACGUUACCGACAGAAUAAGCACCGGCUAACUUCGUGCCAGCAGCCGCGGUAAUACGAAGGGUGCAAGCGUUAAUCGGAAUUACUGGGCGUAAAGCGCGCGUAGGUGGUUUUGUAAGUUGGAGGUGAAAUCCCCGGGCUCAACCUGGGAACUGACUCCAAAACUGAAUGACUAGAGUACGGUAGAGGGUAGUGGAAUUUCCUGUGUAGCGGUGAAAUGCGUAGAUAUAGGAAGGAACACCAGUGGCGAAGGCGACUACCUGGACUGAUACUGACACUGAGGUGCGAAAGCGUGGGGAGCAAACAGGAUUAGAAACCCCAGUAGUCC
rnacentral:rRNA from 1 species